rnacentral:rRNA from 1 species
UACAGAGGUCUCAAGCGUUGUUCGGAUUCAUUGGGCGUAAAGGGUGCGUAGGCGGCGCGGUAAGUCGGGUGUGAAAGUCUUGGAGCUUAACUCCGAAACUGCAUUCGAUACUGCGGUGCUUGAGGACUGGAGAGGAGACUGGAAUUCAUGGUGUAGCAGUGAAAUGACGUAGAGAUCAUGAGGAAGACCAGUGGCGAAGGCGGGUCUCUGGGCAAUUCCUGACGCUGAGGCGCGAAAGCGUGGGGAGCAAACGGG